GGGCUUGUAGCUCAGGUGGUUAGAGCGCUACACUGAUAAUGUAGAGGUCCCUGGUUCGAGUCCAGGCAGGCCCACCA
rnacentral:tRNA from 2 species